rnacentral:lncRNA from 1 species
CGUCUCACCAUCCCUUGCUUGGCUCCUAUCAUCACCUGUUGUGACGAUUUCAAAACAUAUCUACAAACCCUUUGGUCCCCCUCCCUUCAAAAGGUGCAGCCUAAUUCCCCUCUCCUGGACCAGGAGGCAGAACUGGCUUUGUGACUCACCUCUGUCUAGGAGAAUGUGGCAAAUGUGACAAUGUGUGACUUCUGAUGCUAAGUCAUAAAAGGUAUUGUAGUUUCUAUCUUGUUUUUUGUUUGUUUGUUUGUUUGUUUUUUGAGAGAGAGAGAGUGCACACACGAGCUGGGGAGGGGGCAGAGGGGGAGAUGGGCAGAGGGGCAGACGGAGAGAGAGAGACUCUUAAGCAGGCUCCGCGCGGAGCACAGAGCCUGACGCAGGGCUUGAUCCCACGACCCUGGGAUCAUAACCUGAGCUGAAACCAAGAGCUCAAACGACUGAGCCACCCAGGCGCUCCCUACCUUGUUCUCUUGACUCACUUCCUCUGAGGAAGCCAGCUAUCAUGUCAUAAGGACACUGGAGCUGCUCUGGGAAAGACCUACAUGGGGGAAAACUAAUGCCUCCCCCCAGCAGCCAUCAAGCACACCAUCCCGGAAGUGGCUGCUCUGGCCCCAGUUAAGCCCUCAGAUGAGAGCAGCCCUCGCCAGUAUUUGACUACAACUCAUGAGAGACCCUGCAUCAGAACUGCUCAGCCAAGCUGCUCUCAACUUCCAGAUGUGCAG